GUACACUCCUGCGGGAGGCAGCAGUGGGGAAUAUUGGACAAUGGGCGCAAGCCUGAUCCAGCCAUGCCGCGUGAGUGAUGAAGGCCCUAGGGUUGUAAAGCUCUUUCACCGGUGAAGAUAAUGACGGUAACCGGAGAAGAAGCCCCGGCUAACUUCGUGCCAGCAGCCGCGGUAAUACGAAGGGGGCUAGCGUUGUUCGGAUUUACUGGGCGUAAAGCGCACGUAGGCGGACUAUUAAGUCAGGGGUGAAAUCCCGGGGCUCAACCCCGGAACUGCCUUUGAUACUGGUAGUCUUGAGUUCGAGAGAGGUGAGUGGAAUUCCGAGUGUAGAGGUGAAAUUCGUAGAUAUUCGGAGGAACACCAGUGGCGAAGGCGGCUCACUGGCUCGAUACUGACGCUGAGGUGCGAAAGCGUGGGGAGCAAACAGGAUUAGAAACCCUUGUAGUCCCAUG
rnacentral:rRNA from 1 species